UGGGGAAUUUUGGACAAUGGGCGAAAGCCUGAUCCAGCAAUGCCGCGUGUGUGAAGAAGGCCUUCGGGUUGUAAAGCACUUUUGUCCGGAAAGAAAUCCUUGGCUCUAAUACAGUCGGGGGAUGACGGUACCGGAAGAAUAAGCACCGGCUAACUACGUGCCAGCAGCCGCGGUAAUACGUAGGGUGCAAGCGUUAAUCGGAAUUACUGGGCGUAAAGCGUGCGCAGGCGGUUUGCUAAGACCGAUGUGAAAUCCCCGGGCUCAACCUGGGAACUGCAUUGGUGACUGGCAGGCUAGAGUAUGGCAGAGGGGGGUAGAAUUCCACGUGUAGCAGUGAAAUGCGUAGAGAUGUGGAGGAAUACCGAUGGCGAAGGCAGCCCCCUGGGCCAAUACUGACGCUCAUGCACGAAAGCGUGGGGAGCAAACAGGAUUAGAUACCCUGGUAGUCCACGCCCUAAACGAUGUCAACUAGUUGUUGGGGAUUCAUUUUCUCAGUAACGUAGCUAACGCGUGAAGUUGACCGCCUGGGGAGUACGGUCGCAAGAUUAAAACUCAAAGGAAUUGACGGGGUCAUAGCUGUUUCCU
rnacentral:rRNA from 1 species